CGGCGAGUGAAGCGGGAAGAGCUCAAAUUUGAAAUCUGGUGGCCUCAGGUCAUCCGAGUUGUAAUCUAUAGAAGUGUUUUCCGUGCUGGCUCAUGUACAAGUCCCUUGGAACAGGGCGUCAUAGAGGGUGAGAAUCCCGUCCUUGACAUGAACUACCAGUGCUCUGUGAUACAUUUUCAACGAGUCGAGUUGUUUGGGAAUGCAGCUCAAAAUGGGUGGUAAAUUCCAUCUAAAGCUAAAUAUUGGCGAGAGACCGAUAGCGAACAAGUACCGUGAGGGAAAGAUGAAAAGCACUUUGGAAAGAGAGUUAAACAGUAUGUGAAAUUGUUGAAAGGGAAACGAUUGAAGUCAGUCGUGCUCUUUGGAUUCAGCCGGUUCUGCCGGUGUACUUCCUUUGAGUGGGGUCAACAUCAGUUUUGAUCGCUGGAUAAAGGCUGGAGGAACGUAGUACCCUCGGGUAAACUUAUAGCCUCCUGUCACAUACAGUGGUUGGGACUGAGGAACGCAGCACGCCUUUAUGGCCGGGAUUCGUCCACGUACGUGCUUAGGAUGUUGACAUAAUGGCUUUAAACGACCCGUCU
rnacentral:rRNA from 1 species